GAUGAACGCUAGCGACAGGCCUAACACAUGCAAGUCGAGGGGCAGCACGAGGUAGCAAUACUGAGGUGGCGACCGGCGCACGGGUGAGUAACACGUAUGCAACCUACCUGUAAGAGGGGAAUAACCCGGAGAAGUUCGGACUAAUACCGCAUAACACUACCAUACCGCAUGGUAUAGCAGUUAAACAUUCAUGGUUUACAGAUGGGCAUGCGCAUGAUUAGAUAGUUGGUGAGGUAACGGCUCACCAAGUCAACGAUCAUUAGGGGUUCUGAGAGGAAGGUCCCCCACACUGGUACUGAGACACGGACCAGACUCCUACGGGAGGCAGCAGUGAGGAAUAUUGGUCAAUGGGCGAGAGCCUGAACCAGCCAAGUCGCGUGAAGGAAGAAGGUUCUAUGGAUUGUAAACUUCUUUUGUAAGGGAAUAAAAAGAGUUACGUGUAACUUAUUGUAUGUACUUUACGAAUAAGGAUCGGCUAACUCCGUGCCAGCCGCCGCAGUAA
rnacentral:rRNA from 1 species